rnacentral:rRNA from 1 species
UACGGGGGGGGUAAGCGUUGUUCGGAAUCACUGGGCGUAAAGCGCACGUAGGCGGCUUUUUAAGUCAGGGGUGAAAUCCUGGAGCUCAACUCCAGAACUGCCUUUGAUACUGAGAAGCUGGAGUCCGGGAGAGGUGAGUGGAACUGCGAGUGUAGAGGUGAAAUUCGUAGAUAUUCGCAAGAACACCAGUGGCGAAGGCGGCUCACUGGCCCGGUACUGACGCUGAGGUGCGAAAGCGUGGGGAGCAAACAGG